AAAAUGCUCCAGCUGUAACCUAUUUCCAUCACUCUCUGCCCAUAUAACAGCCAUUACCCCUCCCUAGGUCUGGCAGAAGACGAGCUAAGCACUUUUCAGAGGAGAGAGGACAAUUUGUGCUCGCUGGAGUGGCUCACCUGUCAACGGCUAGUCCUUGAAGUCCUUCGCUGGUGUGCUGGCAUCUGUUUCCAGGGGCUGCUGAGUGCCAUCAAUUCCCUACUCGCUCAGGGUAGGCUUGUGUGAAGAGACCUGGAACUGACUGUUUUAGGAAGCCUCUCUCUAGCAGGAUGAAUAAUGAGUGGGGCUGGCUGCUACAGCACAGGGAAAGUGGUCCAUAAGGAGCUGCGCUAAUUCAGAAAGUCCCUUAUCAAAACAAGCUGAUGUGCGCCGAGACGUGUCGAGGCUGUGCUCUGCUGAGACGGAGGCUCUGCCCUCCCCCCGGUGCAGCCCAGCAGCCCUGCGGCCCUGCUAAUUAACCGAGCUACACAUUCAUUCGGUGUCAAACAACAAACGCAUACCAGAGCAGGACCGCUCUGAAUCCUUUCCAGAUAAACACAUGCACUAGUACACUCCAUGGUAACACUUCAAACUACUUUCAACUACCUGUUCAACAACUCACAG